rnacentral:rRNA from 1 species
CCUACGGGUGGCAGCAGUGGGGAAUAUUGCACAAUGGGGGAAACACUGAUGCAGCAACGCCGCGUGAGUGAAGAAGUAUUUCGGUAUGUAAAGCUCUAUCAGCAGGGAAGAAAAUGACGGUACCUGAGUAAGAAGCACCGGCUAACUACGUGCCAGCAGCCGCGGGAAUACGUAGGGGGCAAGCGUUAUACGGAUUUACUGGGUGUAAAGGGAGCGUAGACGGCGAUACAAGUCUGAAGUGAAAGCCCGGGGCGCAACCCCGGGACUGCUUUGGAAACUGUGUUGCGGGAGUGCUGGAGAGGCAAGCGGAAUUCCUAGUGUAGCGGUGAAAUGCGUAGAUAUUAGGAAGAACACCAGUGGCGAAGGCGGCUUGCUGGACAGUCACUGACGUUGAGGCUCGAAAGCGUGGGGAGCAAACAGGAUUAGAUACCCCGGUAGUC